UGGGGAAUAUUGGACAAUGGGGGCAACCCUGAUCCAGCAAUGCCGCGUGAGUGAUGAAGGCCUUAGGGUUGUAAAGCUCUUUUGCCAGGGACGAUGAUGACGGUACCUGGAGAAUAAGCCCCGGCUAACUUCGUGCCAGCAGCCGCGGUAAUACGAAGGGGGCUAGCGUUGUUCGGAAUUACUGGGCGUAAAGGGCGCGUAGGCGGUCUGAUAAGUUAGAUGUGAAAUUCCCGGGCUUAACCUGGGGCUGCAUUUGAUACUGUCAGGCUUGAAUCCAGGAGAGGAUAGUGGAAUUCCCAGUGUAGAGGUGAAAUUCGUAGAUAUUGGGAAGAACACCAGUGGCGAAGGCGGCUAUCUGGACUGGCAUUGACGCUGAGGCGCGAAAGCGUGGGGAGCAAACAGGAUUAGAUACCCUGGUAGUCCACGCCGUAAACGAUGAGUGCUAGACGCUGGUAGGUUUACCUAUCGGUGUCGCAGCUAACGCAUUAAGCACUCCGCCUGGGGA
rnacentral:rRNA from 1 species